GACGAACGCUGGCGGCGUGCCUAAUACAUGCAAGUCGAACGCUUCUUUCCUCCCGAGUGCUUGCACUCAGUUGGAAAGAGGAGUGGCGGACGGGUGAGUAACACGUGGGUAACCUACCCAUCAGAGGGGGAUAACACUUGGAAACAGGUGCUAAUACCGCAUAACAGUUUAUGCCGCAUGGCAUAAGAGUGAAAGGCGCUUUCGGGUGUCGCUGAUGGAUGGACCCGCGGUGCAUUAGCUAGUUGGUGAGGUAACGGCUCACCAAGGCCACGAUGCAUAGCCGACCUGAGAGGGUGAUCGGCCACACUGGGACUGAGACACGGCCCAGACUCCUACGGGAGGCAGCAGUAGGGAAUCUUCGGCAAUGGACGAAAGUCUGACCGAGCAACGCCGCGUGAGUGAAGAAGGUUUUCGGAUCGUAAAACUCUGUUGUUAGAGAAGAACAAGGACGUUAGUAACUGAACGUCCCCUGACGGUAUCUAACCAGAAAGCCACGGCUAACUACGUG
rnacentral:rRNA from 1 species